CGCUCGGGGGACCAGAGGGAGGGAGGCUGCGGACGAGUACGGGGAGGAGUUUGCGAUGGGAGGCGCUUGCAGGGGCUCCCCAGUUCUGCGCUGUGAGCCCGGGCACAAAGAGACCUCUGCACUCGAGCCGCAGGACCGCCGACUCGAGGUGAGCCGCCGCCCCGUCCUCAGGUCGCCCUCUCCGCGAGCAUCCUUGUCGCCGCGCCUGGAACAGCCUAACUCCCCGAGGGUGGGGCCACUGUGGCCGUGACAGCAUCAGAGGAGUAACCAGGAUGACCCGUCCUCUCCUCCAUGCACCCACGGGGUGGUAGAGACCAGCACCGCGCUCAGGCCUGUUGACUGUGAAAUCUGCAUCCGCUGAGACCUGGAUCUCAGAGCUGUCCACCUGACCCAGGAGCUGACAUUGUCCUUGAGAACGCCAUUGUCUUAGUGACCUCCAGGAUGGGCACACGAGGGCCAGGAGACAGGGUCUUUCUGGUCACACAAUGCUCCCCCAAGGACGUCUUUGCUGAGCAUAGCAAGUUCCUGGGGCAGUAUUGAGAGAAGGCAGUGUCUGACUGCUUCUGGAUGGCCAAGACCACGCAGGAGGCAGCCUUGCAGAUAAGUAUUCGAACUUACCAGCCCGCAGCCUCCCAGCCUGCCCUGUCCUGGUCUGUGCGGACAAGCGCCCCCUGGUGGGAGGGGGCAUUGGUGAUGUAGCUCAUUCACUUUUCUUCCUCUGUGCCACAAAGGAAGAGCUUGUGCCCACGUUAUAGGGCCCCACGAAAGGUAAUAUUCACACGCUGCUUUUGGCGUCAAGGAUGGUGUUUUAGAAAGUCCACUCUCAGGAACUGCUGAGGGGCUGAGUUGAAUUGCUUCAUUGAGAACUGGCUGAUGUGGUCUCAGAGGAGGCUGGGGACUCCUGGUGACUUGGGCUGGCCCUUCUGUCCUCAGUACCGACCCUUUGUUCUAGUUAUACAACUCGGCCAGGGCUCCUUUGCCUGGCGGUCAAGUGGGGACCACAGCCACUGCCUAUAGGACACAUUUUUCUCAGUGCCACCAGAGACCUGUGCCCCAAGUCCCAGGUGCCCACAGCGGGUUCUGAAAUAUCUGUGGAGGGCCACCGACUCUUCUAGCCCAGGAUGGGCUUGUGGGGCUCUGCGUGGGAGCCGGGAGCUGGGCCCGGGCUACCGACUGUUGGCUGGGCGUGGCCAGGUGAGCCCGGCACACACAUGGACCAAGCUCUUCUCCCAGCCUGAUGCUCCAGAAGCGGAACACCACGUGGUUCCACCCUUGCAGAUGAUCGAGUGAGAACGUGCCUUGUCACAGUCUCAGCAAGGUAGUGAGCUCCCCGUCCUGGGAGGUGCGCCCGCAGCUCCGGGACUCCCGGCCUCGGUCUUGUCGUUGGAGCCUGCGUGACUCUGGCCACAGGGGCACAGGGAGCAGCUGUCGGCGGUUUUCUGGAAUCCUGGCUCUUUCUCCCAAGACCUUAUUCUGCCCGACUCCCGGGAUGGAGUCUCUCCUGCGUGGAUGCCAGGCAACUCCUGGUCGAUGCUCCGUGAAAUGGGGACCUGGCUAGGGAGGCCGGCUCCAGGGGUGUGUGGGCGGCCGGCAGCCCGCCGAGGCCUCUGCAGCUGCCUGGACCUGCCUUCUGGGCCUUCACUUUCUGACCUUGCGCGGACUUGGCUCCUCCUUGACCUUCUGCUGGUGGUACGAGCCAAUCGGGGCAGAAGCCUCACUGACCGCACCCUCCCCAAGGCCUGGUCCUGAGGACCCUACAGG